rnacentral:rRNA from 1 species
GAUGAACGCUGGCGGCGUGCCUAAUACAUGCAAGUCGAGCGAACGGACGAGACGUUUGCUUCUCUGAUGUUAGCGGCGGACGGGUGAGUAACACGUGGAUAACCUACCUAUAAGACUGGGAUAACUUCGGGAAACCGGAGCUAAUACCGGAUAAUAUUUUGAACCGCAUGGUUCAAAAGUGAAAGACGGUCUUGCUGUCACUUAUAGAUGGAUCCGCGCUGCAUUAGCUAGUUGGUAAGGUAACGGCUUACCAAGGCAACGAUGCAUAGCCGACCUGAGAGGGUGAUCGGCCACACUGGAACUGAGACACGGUCCAGACUCCUACGGGAGGCAGCAGUAGGGAAUCUUCCGCAAUGGGCGAAAGCCUGACGGAGCAACGCCGCGUGAGUGAUGAAGGUCUUCGGAUCGUAAAACUCUGUUAUUAGGGAAGAACAUAUGUGUAAGUAACUGUGGACAUCUUGACGGUACCUAAUCAGAAAGCCACGGCUAACUACGUG